rnacentral:rRNA from 1 species
UACCUACGGGACGCAGCAGUGAGGAAUAUUGGUCAAUGGGAGAGAUCCUGAACCAGCCAAGCCGCGUGAGGGAAGACGGCCCUAUGGGUUGUAAACCUCUUUUGUCGGAGAACAAAACCCGGGACGUGUCCCGGACUGCGUGUAUCCGAAGAAAAAGCAUCGGCUAACUCCGUGCCAGCAGCCGCGGUAAUACGGAGGAUGCGAGCGUUAAUCGGAAUUACUGGGCGUAAAGCGCACGUAGGCUGUAUGACAAGUCAAGGGUGAAAUGCCACGGCUCAACCGUGGAACUGCCUU